UGUCAAGACUUGAGAAGGACUCGUCUCCUCUGUUCGCUUCAGGAUGUCUUAAUGAUUACCAUGUGAUUACAGAUACACUGUUUUCUUUUACUUCUUGAAAGACAUGGGGAGAUUAAAGCAAACAGACAACUGACAUCAAAUUGCUAAAUUAAAGGAGGAAGCUCCCGUGAACUCUGGGCUGGACGUCGUCCAGAAGGGGAUCUACCGUGCUGUGACAGGCCUUGAGUCAUCCGCUCCUCUGGCCGGGCCCGUCAUUCUGGAUGCGGCUCCAUAGGUCAACUUGUCUUCUACACCAAGACGCCUUUUGGGUUCAGAGGGAUGAAGUGAAAACUCCCAGCCCCUGAACAUCCCUGCUGGAGCUUUAUGUACAAUAUACAACCCAGACAGACCAGGUGUAGCAUGCUAAAAAAUAAGGUAAGAAAUCAGUAUACAGCAGCCCCAGAAGACAGCCAUUUAUCUUCAAGGUAGUAAAUUCCAUCAGUGUGUUUAAAGGAGGAUGAAAGAGAGUUGCAGACUCCAUGUUAACCCUUUCUCACCCACAUAUAUGUAAUAUUUCUAUAAAUUUUCCACCAUUUGGUUUUGGUGGUGGCAACUGAUACAAUUUUUUUAAAGGGCAAAAUCAUAACUUUCAUGCAAAUGUAAAAAAAACCCACAUGCCAUAGAUUUUAUAUAACUCAAUUAGGAGGCCAGCAAGAUGUUCCAUUGGUUCAAAGGAGAAUUCAAACAAUUUACCCAUAUA